AUUGAACGCUGGCGGCGUGCUUAACACAUGCAAGUCGAACGGAGUGGCGAACGGGUGAGUAACACGUGGGUGACCUGCCCUGCACUUCGGGAUAAGCCUGGGAAACUGGGUCUAAUACCGGAUAGUGUGGGAUGGGCCCGCGGCCUAUCAGCUUGUUGGUGGGGUAAUGGCCUACCAAGGCGGCGACGGGUAGCCGGCCGGAGAGGGUGGACGGCCACAUUGGGACUGAGACAGGGCCCAGACUAGGAAGGGAGGCAGCAGUGGGGAGUAUUGCACAAUGGGCGGAAGCCUGAUGCAGGGACGCCGAGUGGGGGAUGACGGCAUUCGGGUUGUAAACUCCUUUCACCAUCGACGCGGUAGAUGGAGAAGAAGCACCGGCUAACUACGUGCCAGCCGCCGCGGUAAUUC
rnacentral:rRNA from 1 species